GUGGGGAAUAUUGGACAAUGGGCGCAAGCCUGAUCCAGCCAUGCCGCGUGAGUGAUGAAGGCCUUAGGGUUGUAAAGCUCUUUCAGUAGGGAAGAUAAUGACGGUACCUACAGAAGAAGCCCCGGCUAACUUCGUGCCAGCAGCCGCGGUAAUACGAAGGGGGCUAGCGUUGUUCGGAUUUACUGGGCGUAAAGCGCACGUAGGCGGAUUGGUCAGUUAGAGGUGAAAUCCCGAAGCUCAACUUCGGAACUGCCUUUAAUACUGCCAGUCUCGAGUCCGGAAGAGGUGAGUGGAACUCCUAGUGUAGAGGUGGAAUUCGUAGAUAUUAGGAAGAACACCAGUGGCGAAGGCGGCUCACUGGUCCGGUACUGACGCUGAGGUGCGAAAGCGUGGGGAGCAAACAGGAUUAGAAACCCGGGUAGUCC
rnacentral:rRNA from 1 species